AUCAACCUGCCCGAUGCGAUAAACGCACGGUACAAUAUUAACCCAACACUUUUUUCUAGGGAGUCGGAAAUCCGAAGUGGUGUGCAGACCUCCCGCCUUUUCGGCGGACGUUGGGAGUACUAAAGCUAAGGAAAAGACACCCACCUGCUUAUGAGCAGGUUAUUAUUUGCCGUGUGCGGUCGGGUGGGGAUUUC
rnacentral:other from 1 species